AAGCUGAUCAGCCAUGCCGCGUGUGUGAGAAGGCUUCGGAUUGUAAAGCACUUUAAGUUGGGAGGAAGGGCAGUUACCUAAUACGUGAUUGUUUUGACGUUACCGACAGAAUAAGCACCGGCUAACUCUGUGCCAGAAGCCGCGGUAAAAGCC
rnacentral:rRNA from 1 species